GCCGGAGUGGUGAAACUGGUAGACGCGCACGGUUCAGGGCCGUGUGCCCGAAAGGGCGUGGGGGUUCGACUCCCCCCUUCGGCA
rnacentral:tRNA from 1 species